GGGUGAGCCUCCUGAAGGGAGGAGUCUACGACCUGCGUAGAAGCCGCGUGGUGCCGCCAGUGUGAGGUCGCUUGCUCGACGUAGGUAAAGAAGACAAUCUGAAGAUGAAGAAGGCAACUUUCCAGUAAUGGGGACAAAAAUGGUAUCGUAGCUUAGAGCUCUUUUUCAAUAUACCAUACCACCUCUCUUGGACAUUUUAAGGCCUACUCAAAUAACAUCAACUCUGCAGUCCAUGGGUCAAGUUGUAAUUUCAACUUUCAAAUCUUAUUAUUUAAGAAAUACAUUUUAUAAGGCUAUAGCUGCCAUAGUUAGUGGUUCUUCUGAGGGAUCUGAGCAAAGUAAAUUGAAAAACUUUUAGAAAGAAUUAACCAUUCUGGGUGCCAUUAAGAACAUUUGUGACCUAUGAGAGGAGGUCACAAUAUCAGUAUUAACUGGAGUUUGGAAGAAGUUGGUUCUAACCCUCAUGGAUGACUGAGAGAUUCAGGACUUCAGUGGAAGAAGUAACUGCAGAUGUGGUGGAAACAGCAAGAGAACUUGAAGUGGAACUUGAAUAUGUGACUGAAUUGCUGCAAUUUCAUGAUAAAACAUUAAUGGAUAAUUAGUUGCUUUUUAUGAAGGAGCAAGGGAAGUGGUUUAUUUUUUUUAAAAUGAUUUAUUAAUUUAAAGAGUUAUUGAGAGGGAGAGAGAGAGCGAGAGAGCUCGUCUAUCCUCUGGUUCACU